rnacentral:lncRNA from 1 species
CAGUUCCCUUCUGUCCACUUCUACUUUUUCCUUGAGAAAGAAACAAGGUCAUCAGUUUUAAGCACAGAGAGGGUUUUGGAAAUUGGAAGAGAGAUAGCAGCAGUCAUGAAGAAAGUGGUAGUUUUGAAUAAUGGUGUUGCCCUCACCCAAGAGUUGUGAGCCUUACGUUUUUCAUACCCACUUAGAAUCACAGAGCUGGCAGAAAUCCUGAGGCUUCUGCCGUCUAUGCCAAGUCACCUGAUCAUUCACAGAGUUUCUUCAUUCAGCCAAAUUCUUGGUUGACCCAUCAGUGACCCUUUGUGGAAUCCCAUUCACGGGUCUAAAACCUCCCUGAUGUUCACGACUUGAUCUUUUUUUUUUCUUUUUCAUGUAAACCAAGUGGGGUUAGCAGAUGGUGGUGGCUUUCUGACAUCCUUGGCCAUCAAGAUGCAGUUGUACUUUUCUCAGAAAUACAGAAAGCGAUACGGACCAAACACCUGCGCCUCUUCAGGGAUCACGUGGUCUCGGCAGAAGGUCUGUCUUCCAUGCAGCUCUUACCGGAACAGGAAGAACAAGCCAAUCUUUGCUACUUGUGUCCAGGAGAUAAGAAAUCAUGAUGCCAGCACAUCCUGGACUGUUACAGCUCUGUUUUUCUCAUUGGCCUCCUCAUCCCCAGGCCUCCUCCAGCUGCAUUCUUCAGACACCCCAGAUCUGGAGUGUGCCUCGCUGAAUCAGGGCAGCACACGACUUCUGUUGCCUAGAGCGCCGGAGGUCCACAGUGUGGAGAAGGGCAUUGUCAGCCAGAAGAGAAACAGACUUUCUGAGUCCCUACCUGAGGUCCCAUCCCAAGGCAGCCAACGCCCACUCUUUCCUGUUACCCUGAGGGUAGACCACGCAGGCCAUCAGCCUGCACUGCAUGUCCAGGUGCGUGUGACUCUAUCGUCCCAUGAAGCAGGGCGAGAGAGAGCCCCAGGAUGGGUUGCCUUGGUUAGAUAACUUCCAUGCCAGCGAUUCUGGACCUCGGCGUGAACUGAAAAGGAAGUCUGCAACAUGCCACAUUCCCGGGAUUCAUCCCCUUUGGUAACAGAGAACAGAAGGUGACAAAAUUGGAGGUAAAUUAUUCAGUUUCUUCUCUCGGCCUUGGAGAGGAAUUCUGUGCUCCUGGGAGCUCACUGCAUUUGUCCUGGAUCACUCGCCCGAGGCUGCCACCUCAGGCUGACUGACAGCCGUCUGACAGAGCCCUGAUCUGGAGGAACAGGCGGCACUGAGCCUGUGUCGACAAGCGGACUUUGAUUCCGACUCAGCUAAUGUAUUCUGAGCCUCCUCCAGGUGUCAGGCCGGUGAGCGUUCUGGCAGGCUUAUGGAACCUGUGAUCCUGCAGCGGGG